UACGAAGGGGGCUAGCGUUGCUCGGAAUCACUGGGCGUAAAGGGUGCGUAGGCGGGUCUUUUAGUCAGAGGUGAAAUCCUGGAGCUCAACUCCAGAACUGCCUUUGAUACUGAGGAUCUUGAGUUCGGGAGAGGUGAGUGGAACUGCGAGUGUAGAGGUGAAAUUCGUAGAUAUUCGCAAGAACACCAGUGGCGAAGGCGGCUCACUGGCCCGAUACUGACGCUGAGGCACGAAAGCGUGGGGAGCAAACAGG
rnacentral:rRNA from 1 species